UGGGAAACCUGCCCAGAAGCGGGGGAUAACACCUGGAAACAGAUGCUAAUACCGCAUAACAACUUGGACCGCAUGGUCCGAGCUUGAAAGAUGGCUUCGGCUAUCACUUUUGGAUGGUCCCGCGGCGUAUUAGCUAGAUGGUGGGGUAACGGCUCACCAUGGCAAUGAUACGUAGCCGACCUGAGAGGGUAAUCGGCCACAUUGGGACUGAGACACGGCCCAAACUCCUACGGGAGGCAGCAGUAGGGAAUCUUCCACAAUGGACGAAAGUCUGAUGGAGCAACGCCGCGUGAGUGAAGAAGGGUUUCGGCUCGUAAAACUCUGUUGUUAAAGAAGAACAUAUCUGAGAGUAACUGUUCAGGUAUUGACGGUAUUUAACCAGAAAGCCACGGCUAACUACGUGCCAGCAGCCGCGGUAAUACGUAGGUGGCAAGCGUUGUCCGGAUUUAUUGGGCGUAAAGCGAGCGCAGGCGGUUUUUUAAGUCUGAUGUGAAAGCCUUCGGCUCAACCGAAGAAGUGCAUCGGAAACUGGGAAACUUGAGUGCAGAAGAGGACAGUGGAACUCCAUGUGUAGCGGUGAAAUGCGUAGAUAUAUGGAAGAACACCAGUGGC
rnacentral:rRNA from 1 species